rnacentral:tRNA from 1 species
GACUUAAAAUCCCUCGACUUUUAAAUUCGUGAGGGUUCAAGUCCCUCUAUCCCCAAAAAAGGCUUCCCAAAAAUAUUGAACCUAUCCCC